UACGUAGGGUGCAGGCGUUAAUCGGAAUUACUGGGCGUAAAGCGUGCGCAGGCGGUUUGCUAAGACAGGUGUGAAAUCCCCGGGCUUAACCUGGGAACUGCGCUUGUAACUGGCAAGCUAGAGUGUGGCAGAGGGGGGUGGAAUUCCACGUGUAGCAGUGAAAUGCGUAGAGAUGUGGAGGAACACCGAUGGCGAAGGCAGCCCCCUGGGCUGACACUGACGCUCAGGCACGAAAGCGUGGGGAGCAAACAGG
rnacentral:rRNA from 1 species